GCCUCAACCUCUUCGCCUCAUUGAUGUUGUUUAAUGUUCCUGGAUCCGUCUUACGUUCCUGCUUCCAUCCUACGUUCCUGGAUCCGGAGUGACAGCCUUCACAUCAUCAUCAGCAGCAGCAGUAGAGAAUAUAAUCCACGGAGGUUUUAUAUCGGUAUGUACGGCGUUUUAAUCACUGUUCUGUCGUCUAAGAAGCUGGUAAACUUAUCAAAAGAUCCAACUUCUUUCCAGGAAAGAUU